rnacentral:rRNA from 1 species
AUACGGGGGGUGCAAGCGUUAAUCGGAAUUACUGGGCGUAAAGCGCGCGUAGGCGGUUUGCUCAGUCGGAUGUGAAAGCCCAGGGCUCAACCUUGGAACUGCAUACGAUACUGGCAAACUAGAGUGUGAGAGAGGAUAGUGGAAUUUCCGGUGUAGCGGUGAAAUGCGUAGAUAUCAGAAAGAACAUCAGUGGCGAAGGCGACUGUCUGGCUCAACACUGACGCUGAGGUGCGAAAGCGUGGGUAGCAAACAGGAUUAGAAACCCUAGUAGUCC